AAUUGGAUGGCACUGCAGCUGGAGGCUUUGUUCAGAAUUGAUCCUGGGGAGCUACGAACCCAAAGUUUCACAGUAGGAAGGGGGAAAAAAGAAAAGAAAACAUUUUUCCUAAUGUAACAAUGCGAAUGCUAGAAAAUGACAAGACUGAUCAGUUUUAAACCAUUCUGAAGACUGACUGAGAGUGGAAGUUGCUCAACAAAAAAAGGAACGGGUAUAUUGCAUUUCUCAAGGAGCGUGCUAAGAGGAACUUAUGAUUCCCAUGAGUAAUAAUGAAGAGUUUUGAUUGUGGGUCCUGUAAUGAAUUGUUGACACAUUCAGGACAAACUAUCUAUGGUCCAGAGAAUGAGCCUUGCAGAAAGCUGUAAAAGGGAAUUGGGGAGGGUCAUGCAGUCUGUUUUCUUGCAUCCUCCCACGGUACUGCUGCUAAGCCAUCACAGAGCCAGCACUGCUUAAUGCCUACGACAACACUAACCCCACACUCCGUGAAGCAUUUCAGUUGCCUGCUCAGAAAAUGGAGAUCAAUGAAAGGGAACAUACGGAGAGACAAGAAUUGUAUUCUGCACUGGGUAUAAUAUGUUGCUGAGACAGAAGGAAAACCCACUCCUUUGGAGGAACACAGCCUUUUCCUACAUUGCUUCCCACCACUGCUGUUGAACUCCUUGAACUUUGGACCCUGCACACCACCAACAAGAAGAUGUUAUGGAUGGGCUGUCCACCACCUGCGAGAAGAGAAAGAUCAACUGCAGUUUCUCAUGAGAUUGCCUCCUUCAUUUCAAGGAAUGACUGUUAUCAGGGUCAGAUUAAAGACAAGCCAGCUAAACAACUGUUUGGGACUAACUAUCAGGGCACUAAAAUGUCAAUAGCGUGCUAACAAAUUCACAGAAAUUCAAGGAGAGGAAAAUAUAUUUACCAGACCUUCUUCCCAGAGAGAAUUCUGUGGGUAUGGGAAGAUAUGGUUCAAUAAAUUCCUUAGGGGUGGAAAGUAGGGGAGUAAUCAGAGUAUAGAGGAGUAGAGGGUUUUUGCACUGCAGGGUUCCUGUUUUUUUCUACAAGGAUAUAUAAAUUGGGUGCUCCAACUGGGUAGUUUAUGACUGCAGAGGAUAGGUUGAGUACCCCAGUAGUCCUCCUGCUUAGUUUUUACCCAUGUGGAGCUCAUCCUUUCUUCUAGUAAAGACUGAACAAGCAGUAGUUUGAGGGAGACACCAAUUCAUUAGCCUUCUUGUCCCUUCUCUGUACUCCAGGUCUUGACAAUAAAGACAUUGGCAUAGAUAUCUAUAGUCCAGUUCUAGAAUGUGAACCAUUAGGGUACUUUGUUCACUGGGGUAAGGGUCAUUGUUAACAGACUACUUUGAGUCAAAUAGAACUUGAACUCUUUGCCUAUUUGCCUAGUGGUUAGACCCUGUCUGUGAUGAGUUAAUUAGACCACUGGAAAUACCAAGUGGAGCUGAGAACUUCAAAGGUAUUUGGCUGAAGGGUGAUAUUGCUGGUUAUAGAUGAAGCAAUCAUGACAUAUGGAACUGGUGGUCAUGUUUAAUAACUCAACAAAUAGUUAAGUCCUUACUAGAUACCGUGGAAACUUAGGAGCAAGACAGACAUGGUUCCUACCCCCAUGAAGCUUAUACUCAAACUUUCUGUUAGAUAUAAAGAGUAGUGGCUACAGAUAACAAAUGGCCACAGAGAUAUUCUUGAGACAAUUUUCUAAUUAUUAGGCUAAUUUUUUUUCUUGAGACAGAAUCUCACCUUGUCGCCCUUGGUAGAGUGCCAUGGCAUCACACAGCUGACAGCAACCUCCAACUCCUGGGCUUAGGCGGUUCUCUUGCCUCAGCCUCCCGAGUAGCUGGGACUACAGGUGCCCUCCUAUUAGGCUAAUUUCUAUUGCCCUAAUCAUGCCUAGUGACCAUGCUCUAUAGCCUGCAUUCUAUAAAUGCACUACGAACACGGGCUGUUUGCCCCAG